GGCGAACGGGUGAGUAACACGUGGGCAACCUGCCCUCAGCUCUGGGAUAACUCCAAGAAAUUGGUGCUAAUACCGGAUGUGACUGCUGACCGCAUGGUCUGGUGGUGGAAAGAUUUAUCGGCUGAGGAUGGGCCCGCGGCUAUCAGCUUGUUGGUGGGGUGAUGGCCUACCAAGGCGACGACGGGUAGCCGGCCUGAGAGGGUGACCGGCCACACUGGGACUGAGACACGGCCCAGACUCCUACGGGAGGCAGCAGUGGGGAAUAUUGCGCAAUGGGCGGAAGCCUGACGCAGCGACGCCGCGUGAGGGAUGACGGCCUUCGGGUUGUAAACCUCUUUCAGCAGGGACGAAGCGGAAGUGACGGUACCUGCAGAAGAAGCACCGGCCAACUACGUGCCAGCAGCCGCGG
rnacentral:rRNA from 1 species